rnacentral:rRNA from 1 species
AACGAACGCUGGCGGCAUGCCUAACACAUGCAAGUCGAACGAGAUCUUCGGGUCUAGUGGCGCACGGGUGCGUAACGCGUGGGAAUCUGCCCUUUGGUUCGGAAUAACAGUUGGAAACGACUGCUAAUACCGGAUGAUGACGAAAGUCCAAAGAUUUAUCGCCAGAGGAUGAGCCCGCGUAGGAUUAGCUAGUUGGUGUGGUAAAGGCGCACCAAGGCGACGAUCCUUAGCUGGUCUGAGAGGAUGAUCAGCCACACUGGGACUGAGACACGGCCCAGACUCCUACGGGAGGCAGCAGUGGGGAAUAUUGGACAAUGGGCGAAAGCCUGAUCCAGCAAUGCCGCGUGAGUGAUGAAGGCCUUAGGGUUGUAAAGCUCUUUCACCCACGACGAUGAUGACGGUAGUGGGAGAAGAAGCCCCGGCUAACUUCGUGCCAGCAGCCGCCGUAACAC